CCAAUCGGGUCUCCCCCCCGCCCUCCUCCCCAAAACCCCAACCUCUUCAACCAAAAUCCCCCCUGAAAAACCCAAAAUCUCCAAUCUUUCUUUCCGAUCCUGCAAUUUCUAGGGUUUUUGAUCGUAAUGCAGGUUUUGUAGCGCUUCAAUUUGCAGUUGAAUCGCUCAGAUUUGAGACUUCUUGUACCGCUAUUUGUGCGAAAUCGAGAGACUGAGUUAUGUCAGGCCCGUUGGAUCGGUUUGCGAGGCCUUGUUUUUGACAUGGGAAGAUGGAUGCUAUGAUCAUCUGAAACUGAGAGCAUCUAUGGAAAGCAUUCUGGAUAAUGUCUGCUUCGAUGGAUCCAAAGAGAUUUUUUCAUCUAAUUGGGGAUCAAGUAGACAUGAUGGACAUUCAGGUGAAUAUCCAAUUGGCCAAGUGGUGGCUGAUAUGGAAAGUGCUCAAUAUCCAUGGGGAGAAGGGUAAUGACGCUCAAGGAACAGCUUUCCGAGGCAGAGAAGGAGAUACAGAGGCUACUGGAGAGAUGUGAUGGUGUUUCAAGCAACAGUCCAGCUUCAUUGUUCUCCAUGGAAGCUAUGGAUCCACCUCCUUUUCUAGGGGAGUUUGGGAUGGAAGGGUUUGGGAAUAUUUUUUAUGUGCCAGAAAACAAUUACAAUCAUGGCAUGGAUUGGGUUAAUCUUAUAUGAUAUGUAAUUAAAGCAAUUCUAAUAUUAAUGUAGCUAGUGACUGUCUUAUGUACAUCUUCUUUUU